rnacentral:lncRNA from 1 species
CAAAGGAGGAUAUCCGUGGGAUGGCAAUAGUGGUUGAACCUUAUUGCUAAUUUUCCAUGACAUUUUGUUGCUGUGUGACAGGUGGCUGCAGUGGGGCAGUCUGACAGAAUGGCCUCUGACAUGGAAGUGCGUAUGGAGGAAAGGCAUGGGAUUCAGUUCCCCCAUGCAGAAAAAAAAUUGCACCUAUUGACGUAAACUGAUGCUUUCUGAACAUUUAUGGAAACAAAGCAAUAGAUGUGAACACAGUGAGGCAGAGAGUGGUGCAUUUCAGCAGCAGUGACAGCUUCAUGAAAUACAAGGCAUAUUCCAGAUAGCCAUGCAGAAGUUUGCAAGCAUGGCACAAAGACUCUCAUGGUAAAAAUGCACACUUAUGGUGGUGAGUAUAUUAAAAAAUAUUGUUUCAUAUCUGAGAAUUCGCUCUAUCAAGUAGUGUUAUUGUGCUCUUUGUACCCAUUGAAAGUUUCAUGGAAAUAAACAGAAGGCAUUACUUUCGGAGCAACCCUCAUACAUCCUGUAAAAAUAAAAUAACAACUACUAAGCAUCAUUUCUAGUUUAUUUUACCUUUAUAUACUGACAGUGUAAAACUAUUUUGAAGCUAUUUAGGCUCUAUUUAUCAUUAAAAGCCUAACCGUGUCUUUAUCUCAUUUUCAAAUUAACAGGCACAUGAAUCCAAAUGGAAUCCACCUCUCUUUUAGAAGAAGGAACUGUCCACAGCUUGUUCAGAGCACACAGGUUCUGCUCGAGAGGAAUGCAGAGGGCUCUGGGCAGGACACUGCUGAAGACAAACUCCAAACAUGCUCUCUUCAGGAGUCAGAUAGAGAGUAAAACGAUAUCUGGACAAGGGACCAAAGAGAAAUCAGACAUACUGAGAGGAUUGCAAAUGAAGGACUUUUACAGCUACAAUUUCACUGAAGUGAAAAUCACAUUGCAAAAGAUAGUGGAAAGCAGAAAACUCAAAUUUCCUAUGUGUUUCUCACACCAACAAUAA